rnacentral:rRNA from 1 species
CACGUAGGGUGCGAGCGUUGUCCGGAAUUAUUGGGCGUAAAGAGCUCGUAGGCGGUGUGGCGCGUCGGCCGUGAAAACCUGCAGCUUAACUGUGGGCUUGCGGUCGAUACGGGCAUCACUGGAGUUCGGCAGGGGAGACUGGAAUUCCUGGUGUAGCGGUGAAAUGCGCAGAUAUCAGGAGGAACACCGGUGGCGAAGGCGGGUCUCUGGGCCGUAACUGACGCUGAGGAGCGAAAGCGUGGGGAGCGAACAGG